GGCCAGAGUAAUCCAUAAGAUAGAUUUGAAAGGUUGAAAUAUAAUAUGGUUGACUUAAUUAGGGUUGACAGUUAAACCCUAUAUUAUCUUGAGCAUUUGGAUCAAAGGGAUGAAUUAUACGGUAACCAUACGCCAGUAGGUUCUAGAAGGUUGCUUUGUAAUACUUCGACCUAUCCAGUAUUUGGGUCAUCAUUGUUAGAUGGUUUCAUCGAUUGGUAUAGGAAGAUAUUUUUAUGCUACCACCUUAAGUUCAGACCUAUGG
rnacentral:lncRNA from 1 species